AUAGCCAGUUGGGGAAGAAUGCUGUUACCAUGGAGAGAAGCUGGAUUGUUCUCCAACCUGGCUCUUU
rnacentral:miRNA from 1 species